CUAACGUCCGUCGUGAAGAGGGAAACAACCCAGACCGCCAGCUAAGGUCCCAAAGUCAUGGUUAAGUGGGAAACGAUGUGGGAAGGCCCAGACAGCCAGGAUGUUGGCUUAGAAGCAGCCAUCAUUUAAAGAAAGCGUAAUAGCUCACUGGUCGAGUCGGCCUGCGCGGAAGAUGUAACGGGGCUAAACCAUGCACCGAAGCUGCGGCAGCGACGCUUAUGCGUUGUUGGGUAGGGGAGCGUUCUGUAAGCCUGUGAAGGUGUGCUGUGAGGUAUGCUGGAGGUAUCAGAAGUGCGAAUGCUGACAUAAGUAACGAUAAAGCGGGUGAAAAGCCCGCUCGCCGGAAGACCAAGGGUUCCUGUCCAACGUUAAUCGGGGCAGGGUGAGUCGACCCCUAAGGCGAGGC
rnacentral:rRNA from 1 species